rnacentral:rRNA from 1 species
GUAGGGUGCAAGCGUUAAUCGGAAUUACUGGGCGUAAAGCGUGCGCAGGCGGUUUCGUAAGACAGAUGUGAAAUCCCCGGGCUUAACCUGGGAACUGCGUUUGUGACUGCGAGACUCGAGUGUGGCAGAGGGGGGUGGAAUUCCACGUGUAGCAAUGAAAUGCGUAGAGAUGUGGAGGAACACCGAUGGCGAAGGCAGCCCCCUGGGUCAACACUGACGCUCAUGCACGAAAGCGUGGGUAGCAAACAGGAUUAGAUACCCUGGUAGUCCACGCCCUAAACGAUGCCAACUAGGUGUUGGAGAAGGAGACUUCUUUAGUACCGUAGCUAACGCGUGAAGUUGGCCGCCUGGGGAGUACGGUCGCAAGAUUA